rnacentral:rRNA from 1 species
GACGAACGCUGGCGGCGUGCUUAACACAUGCAAGUCGAACGGAAAGGCCCUGCUUUGGGGGGUGGUCGGGUGGCGAACGGGGGAGGAACAAGGGAGUAAACCGCCCCUGACUUUGGGGUAACCUCAGGAAAAUGGGGGUAAUACCGGAUAGGAACUUCUGCUGCCUGGUGGGGGGUGGGAAGUUUCGGCGGUUGGGGAUGGACUCGCGGCUUAUCAGCUUGUUGGUGGGGUAGUGGCUUACCAAGGCUUUGACGGGUAGCCGGCCUGAGAGGGUGACCGGCCACAUUGGGACUGAGAUACGGCCCAGACUCCUACGGGAGGCAGCAGUGGGGAAUAUUGCACAAUGGGCGGAAGCCUGAUGCAGCAACGCCGCGUGCGGGAUGACGGCCUUCGGGUUGUAAACCGCUUUCGCCUGUGACGAAGCGUGAGUGACGGUAAUGGGUAAAGAAGCACCGGCUAACUACGUG